GUCUAUGGCCAGGCCACCCUGAACGUGCCCUAUCCCGUCUGAUUUUGGAAGCUAAGCAGGGUCGGGCCUAGUUAGUACUUGGAUGGGAGACCACCUAGGAAGACCAGGUGCUGUAGGAG
rfam:Pteropus alecto contig41784, whole genome shotgun sequence.